GACCGUGUGGCCAAGUGGCUAUGGCGUUGGUUUUACAGAAUAUCCUGUAAAGAUCACCAAAGAUCGCAGGUUCGAACCCUGCCACGGUCA